GCAUGGCUGUCGUCAGCUCGUGUUGUGAAAUGUUGGGUUAAGUCCCGCAACGAGCGCAACCCUUAUCCUUUGUUGCCAGCGGUCCGGCCGGGAACUCAAAGGAGACUGCCAGUGAUAAACUGGAGGAAGGUGGGGAUGACGUCAAGUCAUCAUGGCCCUUACGACCAGGGCUACACACGUGCUACAAUGGCGCAUACAAAGAGAAGCGACCUCGCGAGAGCAAGCGGACCUCAUAAAGUGCGUCGUAGUCCGGAUUGGAGUCUGCAACUCGACUCCAUGAAGUCGGAAUCGCUAGUAAUCGUGGAUCAGAAUGCCACGGUGAAUACGUUCCCGGGCCUUGUACACACCGCCCGUCACACCAUGGGAGUGGGUUGCAAAAGAAGUAGGUAGCUUAACCUUCGGGAGGGCGCUUACCACUUUGUGAUUCAUGACUGGGGUGAAGUCGUAACAAGGUAACCGUAGGGGAACCUGCGGUUGGA
rnacentral:rRNA from 1 species